UACGUAGGGGGCUAGCGUUGUCCGGAAUCAUUGGGCGUAAAGAGCGCGUAGGCGGCCAGAUAAGUCCGGUGUGAAAGUCACAGGCUCAACCUGUGAAUGCCGCUGGAAACUGUCUGGCUAGAGUCCGGAAGGGGCGAGUGGAAUUCCUGGUGUAGCGGUGAAAUGCGCAGAUAUCGGGAGGAACACCUAUGGCGAAGGCAGCUCGCUGGGACGUUACUGACGCUGAGACGCGAAAGCGUGGGGAGCAAACAGG
rnacentral:rRNA from 1 species